GUCGUCAGCUCGUGUUGUGAAAUGUUGGGUUAAGUCCCGCAACGAGCGCAACCCUUAUCCUUUGUUGCCAGCGGUCCGGCCGGGAACUCAAAGGAGACUGCCAGUGAUAAACUGGAGGAAGGUGGGGAUGACGUCAAGUCAUCAUGGCCCUUACGACCAGGGCUACACACGUGCUACAAUGGCGCAUACAAAGAGAAGCGACCUCGCGAGAGCAAGCGGACCUCAUAAAGUG
rnacentral:rRNA from 1 species